CCUACGGGCGGCUGCAGUGGGGAAUAUUGGACAAUGGGCGAAAGCCUGAUCCAGCCAUGCCGCGUGUGUGAAGAAGGCCUUCGGGUUGUAAAGCACUUUCAGUGGGGAAGAAAGCCUUGGGGCUAAUACCCUCGAGGAAGGACAUCACCCACAGAAGAAGCACCGGCUAACUCCGUGCCAGCAGCCGCGGUAAUACGGAGGGGUGCGAGCGUUAAUCGGAAUUACUGGGCGUAAAGCGCGCGUAGGCGGUCUGAUAAGCCGGUUGGAAAGCCCCGGGCUCAACCUGGGAACGGCAUCCGGAACUGUCAGGCUAGAGUGCAGGAGAGGAAGGUAGAAUUCCCGGUGUAGCGGUGAAAUGCGUAGAGAUCGGGAGGAAUACCAGUGGCGAAGGCGGCCUUCUGGACUGACACUGACGCUGAGGUGCGAAAGCGUGGGUAGCAAACAGGAUUAGAUACCCGUGUAGUC
rnacentral:rRNA from 1 species